rnacentral:SRP_RNA from 1 species
GCCGGGCGUGGUGGCAGGCGCCUGUAGUCCCAGCUACUCGGAGGCUGAGGCAGGAGAAUCGCUUGAACCCGGGAGGUGGAGGUUGCAGUGAACCGAGAUGGCGCCGUUGCACUUCAGCCUGGGCAACAAGAGUAAAACUCUGUCUCNNNNNNNNNNGAGACAGAGUUUUACUCUUGUUGCCCAGGCUGAAGUGCAACGGCGCCAUCUCGGUUCACUGCAACCUCCACCUCCCGGGUUCAAGCGAUUCUCCUGCCUCAG